rnacentral:lncRNA from 1 species
UGUCAUCAUCACUGUCUGUAUGAUGAUCAGCAAUGAUAGGUGCAUCAUCAGGCCGCUGCUGUGGGGACGGAGCUGGAGGUGCCCUAGGAGCAGAUGGCUGAGUGGAUGUCCCUAUACCGUGUUGUGCCAUCAUCCUAUGCAUAAACGUCUGCAACUCGUCCAGCACUGUGGUACCCAUAUCUAAAGCUCUGUAUCCCCAAGUCCCGUCGAUACCUGUGGUAUCUGCGGCUCAUGCUCUUGUCCGUCAUCUGCAUUCGCCUCCUCUUGGCUUGCACUAGAAGGUAGUCGAACUGGUCCUCUAGGCUGCUUAACCCGUCCACGUCCCCUCAUCUGUGUACAAAUAAAAAAUAAUCAAUGCCAAUAAUAAUAUAAUGUGUAGACAUUAAAUUAAAAACAUACAAACGUAGUAAGUUACUCACUGAGAAGUGAUGGAAAUAUACUACUCGAAAC